rnacentral:rRNA from 1 species
GACGAACGCUGGCGGCGUGCCUAAUACAUGCAAGUUGAGCGCUGAAGGCUGGUACUUGUACCAACUGGAUAAGCAGCGGACGGGUGAGUCACGCGUGGGGAAACUGCCUUUGAGCGGGGGACAACAUUAGGAAACGAAUGCUAAUACCGCAUAAAAACUUUAAAAACAAGUUUUAAGCUUGAAAGAUGCAAUUGCAUCACUCAAAGAUGAUCCCGCGUUGUAUUAGCUAGCUGGUGAGGUAAAGGCAAACCAGAGCGAUGAUACAUAGCGGACCUGAGAGGCGGAGCUGCCACGUUGGGACGGGAGCACGGCCCGAACUCCUGCGAGAGGCAGCAGGAGGAGAUCUUCGGCAGUGGACGAAAGUGUGACCGAGCGACGCCGCGGGAGUGAAGAAGGUUGUCGGAUCGUGUGACUCUGUUAGGAGAGAGGAUCGUAGAGGAGUGUGGAAAGCGCAGCAAAUGACGGUAACAGCCGAGGAAGGGACGGCUAACUACGUG